GCCGGCGUAGCUCAGCUGGUUAGAGCGUAGGAAUCAUAACCCUAAGGUCGCAGGAUCGUCCCCUGCCGCCGGCA
rnacentral:tRNA from 1 species